AACCCAUCAGUGCAUGCAUGGAUAUUUGGAGAGGUGUGUCAUCCAAUUCAGGUGGGGGGGAGGUUCACCUUCCUCGGUAACCUCAGUAUAAUAAACCAGCUCGGCAUCUUCUGGGCAAGAUUCUUGGAGAGCUUGAAUUUGAGCUUGGUUUGCAAGUUUACAGACUUUCUUAUGGCCAGGGAACCAGGGCUCCUUACACCUGUAACAGAUUCCCUUCGCUCUUGCUUGUUGGAUUAUUGAAGCAGUAUUGAUAGGGUUGUUUUUACCAAGGUCAAACUGUAACUGUUUCCU
rnacentral:lncRNA from 1 species